GAUGAACGCUGGCGGCGUGCCUAAUACAUGCAAGUCGAGCGAACAGACGAGGAGCUUGCUCCUCUGACGUUAGCGGCGGACGGGUGAGUAACACGUGGAUAACCUACCUAUAAGACUGGGAUAACUUCGGGAAACCGGAGCUAAUACCGGACAAUAUAUUGAACCGCAUGGUUCAAUAGACAAAGACGGAUUUGCUGUCACUUAUAGAUGGAUCCGCGCCGCAUUAGCUAGUUGGUAAGGUAACGGCCUACCAAGGCGACGAUGCGUAGCCGACCUGAGAGGAUGAUCAGCCACACUGGAACUGAGACACGGUCCAGACUCCUACGGGAGGCAGCAGUAGGGAAUCUUCGGCAAUGGGCGAAAGCUUGACGGAGCCACGCCGCGUGAGUGAUGAAGGUCUUCGGAUUGUAAAGCUCUGUUAUUAGGGAGGAACAGAUGUGUGAUUAACUAUGCCCGUCUUGACGGUACCUAAACAGAAAGCCCCGGCUAACUUCGUG
rnacentral:rRNA from 1 species